CAGUAGCCGCGGUAAUACGAACCGUGCGAACGUUAUUCGGAAUCACUGGGCUUAAAGCGCGUGUAGGCGGGCCGUCACGUCGGCUGCUGAAAUCCCCCGGCUCAACCGGGGAAGUGCCACCGAUACGAGCGGCCUUGAGGGGGGUAGGGGGGUCUGGAACUUCCGGUGGAGCGGUGAAAUGCGUUGAGAUCGGAAGGAACGCCCGUGGCGAAAGCGAGGCCCUGGACCCUUUCUGACGCUGAGACGCGAAAACCAGGGGAGCGAACGGGAUUAGAUACCCGCGUAGUCCCUGUCUCUUAUA
rnacentral:rRNA from 1 species